UUUACUUGCCUAUUACCAAAGAAGAUUUCAUGCAUGCCACAUCAAGUCGCCAUAGAUGCCUCCAAGUGAAAUUUCAGCGACGACAAGAUUUGGCAUCAUAUUGCCCAGUAACUGAAUAUGCACGCAGGAGGAUCACUCUGGAUGAUGGAAAAUGCAUUAUCCGUGUACUUUUCCACUCACUUCACACAAGAAUAUCUCAAGGGGCACAUGCAUGAAGAGCAUACUAAUUUGCUGAUCAAAGCUGGAAACAGACCUGCCAUCGUCAUUGCUCGGCUUAUCAUACAAUCACAAGAAGCUGGACUCAGUUCUUUGACAUCGCAAAUAUGAAAGGAGGAGUGUCAUAUGCAUUUGCCUUUGAGGAAUUGGCGGGAGAACUCAUAUCAUCGUGCACUCCCUUUGAUAGCGUCAUGAGCAACCACUGCCAUCAUCUCAUAAUAUAGCUCAGGUUC